UUUUUUUAACANUGACUUUUCCUUGCUUCUCUUUUUCACCUUCCCACAGUGGUCCACUCCCCUCGGCCAGGGCCGCGUCAACCAGCUCGGCGGCGUUUUUAUCAACGGCAGGCCGCUGCCCAACCACAUCCGCCACAAGAUCGUGGAGAUGGCCCACCACGGCAUCCGGCCCUGCGUCAUCUCGCGCCAGCUGCGCGUGUCCCACGGCUGCGUCUCCAAGAUCCUGUGCAGGUACCAGGAGACUGGCUCCAUACGUCCUGGUGCCAUCGGCGGCAGCAAGCCCAAGGUGAGCGGGCGGGCCUUGCCCUCCUGGCUCCCAGAACUGUGGUCAA
rnacentral:rRNA from 1 species